GGUUGGCUAAUCCUGGUCGGACAUCAGGAGGUUAGUGCAAUGGCAUAAGCCAGCUUGACUGCGAGCGUGACGGCGCGAGCAGGUGCGAAAGCAGGUCAUAGUGAUCCGGUGGUUCUGAAUGGAAGGGCCAUCGCUCAACGGAUAAAAGGUACUCCGGGGAUAACAGGCUGAUACCGCCCAAGAGUUCAUAUCGACGGCGGUGUUUGGCACCUCGAUGUCGGCUCAUCACAUCCUGGGGCUGAAGUAGGUCCCAAGGGUAUGGCUGUUCGCCAUUUAAAGUGGUACGCGAGCUGGGUUUAGAACGUCGUGAGACAGUUCGGUCCCUAUCUGCCGUGGGCGCUGGAGAACUGAGGGGGGCUGCUCCUAGUACGAGAGGACCGGAGUGGACGCAUCACUGGUGUUCGGGUUGUCAUGCCAAUGGCACUGCCCGGUAGCUAAAUGCGGAAGAGAUAAGUGCUGAAAGCAUCUAAGCACGAAACUUGCCCCGAGAUGAGUUCUCCCUGACCCUUUAAGGGUCCUGAAGGA
rnacentral:rRNA from 1 species